AGGUUAACCAGGAAGUGAAUGAAAACGAGACAGAAAAACACAAAUCAGAUGGAUAUAGGAACCAAAAAUGAAGAGUUUGGGCAGAAAAGGCCAGAGACAAAAAGAAAAAAGCACUGCAGGCUCGUGCUCCAACGACAGUAUCAGUCCGCAGCGCGUGAAGAGGAGGAGAGAGUCACGUGGACAGAUGAUGCAGCACUCCUGGUGUGUGGUGGUCACCUCCGCAGGAACCAUGGCCUUUCUCUCCUUUCUUGUGUGAAUGAUUUUCCCCACACAAGAUCUACUCAUCUGACCUGAUCCCCGUCAAUCUCUUCCUGAUGUUGCAGCCUGCUGAUGGCUUUCUCCAGGUGGGAAGGUUUCGAGCAUUUUUGCUUGAACCAGCUGCUUGCUGCUGGAAACAGGAUGAUAAAAGCAUUGAGACGAAACCAAAACAGUGAGGUCGUGGACUGUAAAAUCAAAACAAUGAGCUGAAAGACACCAAAAAGGAACUGUUUUGCUUGGUGAUAAUACUCUGUAGGUUGUCACUAAGUGCUAACAAAGACUGUAUAAAAAAUAAU